CAGCCGCUGCUCAGUGGCACCUUGGAGAGAGCGGAGAGGCUGAGCCGAAUUCCUGGAAAGAGGAGAUAAAGCCUUUCAAAAGCCUGGGCUGUUUGGGGUUUCUGGGGCCAGCAGAGAGAUAAGGGAUUAGUUCCCGGCAGGUGGGAACAGCGCUGGGCACACAGAUCAGUUCCCAGCCUGUUUUGCGCGGGGGAGGGAGCCUUGCCCAGCUGCUUAGAGGCAGUAUUGUCUUAGCCCUGGUAUCCUACAGGGGAGUAGCUUUUUGACACGGUUCAUGCCCUGUGCAGAGAUCCUGUCUUCUAAGCUGGGUCUACUAAGAGAGUUCCCUGAGGUUUCUUCUCAAUUGCUGAAAGGUAUCCAUCAUAAGGAAAAAAAAAAGUAGCUAGUUAAUCUUUGAAACAUAAGCUGUGCCUUCGCUCUCCAGCCUGCUGUGGAUUCGUUCCAAGCUCUGAGUCACUGGCACUGUGAGAGUUCCCUGUGGCCAAGAACUGUGCCUUGCAUCUUGAAGCACUGAGAAGUCAAUUAAUGUUCCUGUGAAAAGACUGAAUGAUGAGUUGAAUGAUGGAAAAGGCAUAAGACUGGCACAAGCAGUUUUGGAGUCCAGCCAUCUUAACCAUUUUCAAGAUUUCUUUUGUGGACAAGGAUGCAUAGCAGUGGCUCAUGCUGACAGUGGUUCCCACUAGGCACUUUUUACGUAGUUUGCCCGUAAGAAGUACGGUGAUCUUUACGAAUCCAAUAGGAACAUCUGGCUUCCUUUGGGAAACUGAGAAGAAUGCCCAGUGUCAAAAUCAUUCUCUCAUUCUUAAAUGACCCAACAGGAUUUAGCUGUCAUAUUUAACCAGAAAGGAAAUCAGCCCUGAAUAUUCACUGGAAGGACUGAUGCUGAAGCUGAAACUCCAAUACUUUAGCCACCUGAUGUGAAGAACUGACUCAUUUGAAAAGACCCUGAUGCUGGGAAAGAUUGAAGGCAGGAGGAGAAGGGGACAACAGAAGAUGAAAUGGUUGGAUGGCAUCACUGACUUGAUGGACUUGAGUUUGAAUAAACUCCAGAAGCUGGUGAUGGACAGAGAGGCCUGGCAUGCUGUAGUCCAUGGGGGUCACAAAGAAUUGGACAUGAUUGAGUGACUGAACUGAAUUGAACUUGAACAGUGGCUGGCACUCCAUAGAUAUUUAUUUUAUGAAAGGUUGAAUUUAAUUAUCUUUGAAGUGCAAAGUUAGAAAUGGAAAGUCUUGCUCACAAUUUUCCUUUGUAAAUGUGGCCAAUUUAAUUUAAUACAGUUAUUGAUUGCCUGUGUUUGUCUGAAACAGUAGAAGUAACAACUUGAAUCUUCUGUUUCUGAUUGUUGGAUGUUGUGUGAGCAGAGCUGGCAGCCACUGCGGUUUCUGAGGCUUAGAACUUGUACAUGGAAGGUAACUGAGUGGCGACUUUGUCUGAGUUCUACUUUGGCUGAUGGAUGCCCUCUAGGGCCUCAAUAUCUUUAUUUUACACAUUUUAUUUAUCAGACUUGGGCAUGUAUCCCACCUUGGGACCAUUCAUGGGGGUUAAACGGUGAUCCAUUCAGCUCUGAAGUAGUUUAUAGACUCACAGGGAAGACAGGUACAGAAAUGGGUAAUUGCAAAACAGUGUGAUGUAUGCUUAGGGUGAAAGGCCCCCUAAGAGAUGAUGAUAGGGACACAGAAGAAUAGAGAAUCUAAUUGUUCCACUGCUUGAAUAUCUCCAGUGUCAGGAAACUCAUUAUCUUAGAAGAAAGUAGAAAGAAUGCACUGAUGUCUGUGAUUUACUCAACAUUUUUGAAAUGAGUGUCUGCUGUGUGCUGGGCUUCCCGGGUAGUGCUCGUGGUAAGGAACCUGCUCGCCAGUACAAGAGAUGUAAGAGACAUGGGUUCAGUCCUUGGGUCGGGAAGAUCUCUGGAGGAGGGCAUGGCAGCUGACAUCAGUAUUCUUGCCUGGAGAAUCCCUUGGACAGGGGAGCCUGGUGGGCUACAGGCCAUGGGGUCACAAAGAGUGGGACACGACUGAAGAGACUUAGCACACACAACUACUAUGUGCCAAGUACUGUGCCAAGUGCUGGAGAGGCAGUGAAUAAGAGAGAUGCAGUUCCCACUCUUACCGGGCUUUCAAAGUCAGGGGUCAGAGAUCCAUUAAACGUGUAAAUAUACAAAUAAGCACAAACUUAUAAGCAGUGGUGAAAGUGAUGAAAGAAGAGUCAGGUAGCUGUAGACCCAUUACGUGGUCUCAGUUCAGUGUUGAGAGGUGAGUGUCUUAACCUCUAUCCUGCUGAGGAGUUAGCAGAGGAUCCCAGUUGUAAAUUGCCUUGCCCCAAACUACACAACUGGUAAGUGUCAGAGCAGGGAUUAGAACCCAGGACUGUCCGAUGUCAAGUACAUGCUUUCAACUCCAAGUCUUCACUGAGGAGCCUCAUGGUAUAUGGGCCACCUCACUUGGGGACAGAUAAUUGGAAACAGAGUCAUUAAAGCUUAUUCUUUUUCUUCAGCAUGCUGUUAUAUGCCUUUAACAUGUGCCACCAAUUAAGGGGUUAAUUAUGUACUUUUCUCGUGUUGAUUUAUAAAUGGGAUUUGUUUAAGUAAGAGCAUGGAAAGUCUGAUUCUUUCACUCAAAUCCACCCACCUUUUGUCUAGGCUGAUGCUGAGUGUAGACAGUCUCAUUAAAUACU